CGCAGGAGAGGGCUGGGCGCGGUGUGGCGGCCGCCUCGCCACAACUUGCCCGGAGCAGACAGGCUCCAUCCUGCGCGCUGGAAGCAGCAGCCGGUCCGCCGCUUCCCGCUCGGCUCCUCCGCGGCCUCCGCCUGGGCCAGCAGCGCUCUUGGGGUCUGAGCCCCAGCGUCGCCCCCGUCGGCUCGCAGCGCUCGGCACCCGCCUUGGAGCGCGCAGCUGGGGUGCUGGGGAUAGAACGGUGAGCAAGCGAGGCCAAGGCCCUUGCUCCCUCUGAUCUGCAGCCCAGUGGAUGGGGCCCACCGUCCACAGACCUGCCAGGAAAGAAAACAAUUUUCCUGAUGGUUGGGCCAAGCAGGGGCUCCUGGUGGAUUGAGGAACAACUGGCUGUUCCUCGAUUUAUUCAUCUGUGUGACAGCCACAGGCAGCCCCCCAGAAGACCCCAAGAAUGAGAGGCCUGACAUCUCCAAGUUGCUGCUAGUUUAGCCUCUCCAAAAAACACAAUGCAGCCGCCUCUCAAGGCCCUGGGCGCUUGCUGACCGCGCGCAGGCUGGCGCGUCCUUUGCUCCAGGUCCAGCCCCGGCGCUGCCAUAGCAACGGCUUGGACGCGGGGACCUUAGGCCGCCGCCGCCGCCGCCGCC